rnacentral:lncRNA from 1 species
UGAUGCUUCUUGUUAUGACUCCACUGGAGAAUCUACAUCUUUUUGUAUGAAGACAAAAGUUCAGAGGGUCCACCAGAGAUGGGAUGCAGAAUCUGAAUCUGUCUUUCUGGGUCUUAAUCAUAAAUAUAUGUAUGUGGAGUUCCCGUCAUGGUGCAGCAGAAACGAAUCUGACUAGGAACUAUGAGGUUGUGGAUUUGAUCCCUGGCCUCGCUCAGUGGACUGGGAAUCUGGCGUUGCUUUGGCUGUGGGUAGUUUGUAGACACAGCUUGGAUCCUACAUGGCUGUGGUGUAGGCCAGCAGCUGUAGCUUCAAUUAGACUCCUAGCCUAGGAACCUCCAUAUGCCACAAGUGCGGCCCUAAAAAGCCAUAAAUAAAUAAAUAAAUAAAUGUGUGGUGUGUGUGUGUGUCUGUUAUAUAAGUUUAUAUAGUGAAAAAUUAUAGGUUCAUCAUAUGUCUAUAUUACUUUAUAUGAAAGUCUUAUUUCUCUCCAAACUUGGCCAAAAUGAUUGAAGUAUUCUUUAAAAUGCAGUUCUUAUGUCAGUCAUCCAUGAUGAUUUCUUCACUGUAGCCAUCAGGAUAAAAUCCAGAGUUAACUACACUUCAAGCCUAUCCUGUUCAGGCCACAGACACCCUGCUUAAUAUCAUCUGUUGUCUCUAGCCCUCUCACACAUUAUUGAACUGUUUUUUAUUUUGGUACUGCAUUUUUUUCAAGUCUCCUUGAACUUGGACUUGGUAUUCCUAUAACUUGUAAAGCUGUUUCACAUAUGAGCUUGGCUAACUCCUACAAAUAUUUUCAAAUCCAAUUGUUCCUUCAAGGAAACUUCUUUAACCUUCUACUACCACUCAAAUCCCAUCAGAGAUUUUUGUUCUCCUAUAUGUCUCUUGUUCAUUUAACUCUCAACCACUGCAUUGUAAACUCCUUCUGGGUAGGACUCGCAUCUUUUAUUUUUCAACUUACCUUGCUUAGCUGUGCCUGGCACACUGCAGGCUCAGUGUUUGCUGAAUAAAUAAAUGGAGGAAGCCAGAAGCCAAGACAUGAAGGACCUAGGAAAGGUGACUUUGAAGGUGGCCAGCCCUUUGGAAUUGAGAUGGAUAUCUCGGUCUUUAAAUAAUGGUUAUUUUUUUUUUUUCUUUUUGGCUGUACCUACGGCACAUGGAAGUUCCCAGGCCAGGAAUCGAAUCCAAGUCACAGAUGCGACCUGUGCCAGAGUUGUGGCAAGGCCAGAACUUAACCACUGCACCAGGCUGGGGAUUGAACUCGUGCCACUGCAGAGACAACACAGGGUCUUUAACUGCUGUGCCACAAGAGAACUCCUGAGGUUUUAUUUUAAUAAUGAAAAUGCUGUUUCCUUCUGGUGCCUUCUUUUUUCCUCCUUUUGGCCACAUUGUCCUCUCUUUCCCAGGCUGACUAGUGUAACUGUGUGGUCCUCUGGUUUCCUGAGAACCCUCAUUGAGUGGCUACAUCUUUGCCUGGCUUCCUAGAUCUGCUAUUGUCGGGAGUGUCUCCAGACAGCGGUCACUUACCAGGGGCUUUACCCUCACUGGGGCUGAUACAGCUCAAGAAAUAUUCUUCAUAGAGGCAGUUUACACUGUAAAAAUUAGUGGCCUGAUACAACAAUCAUUUUAUCUUCUCUCACAUUUUUGUAUGUUGACUGUGUUCAACUGGCCACUUUUCUGCUGGCCUCUCCUGAGGUGUUUUGGGAGGAUGCAGUCAGGUGAUGUUUACAUAUCAUCUCAGGGUAGUGGAAGCAUAUGGAGGCUUGCCUGCAAGGCUGGGAUGUCUAGAUCUCCUCUUUCUCCAUGUAUCUCAGGGCUUCUCCUCUAUGUGUGGUCUCUCUCUGUGGUAGUUGGACCAUGGGAACCAAUUUCCUCUGGGACAGCUCAGAGCUCUCAAAUGCAGCUAAGGGAGGUAGAAUUUGUAAGUCCUCUUAAAGUCUAGGUACAGAAUGGUCCCAGUGUCACUCCUACUGCAUAUUAUUGGGUAAUGGAAGUCCCAGGGUAGCUCAGAGUCAUUGUGGGAGGGACCACAUGGAGUCAUGAAUACCAUGAGGCAUAGGUCCUUUGGGCCAUCUUUUCAUAUUAGCUAAUUAGAUGCUGUAGCAUACUUGCAUAUUAAUAAGCAACAGAUGUUUAAAAAUAAUUUUAAAAUCUGAGACUGUUGUGUAUUUCUUCCUUCUUGUAAACUCUUCCUUUCAGCCUCCUGCUCAGAUUCCCUGUCAAUUUCGCUAGCCCUGUCCCCAUCACUUCUAGCACAUCACCUUACUUGUCUUUCUUUCUUUUACUGCUUCUGCUUCCUUUGUCUCUCCCUAAGCAAUGGGCAAGAACCAAACCCCCAGGCUUUGUCGCUUCCUCAUCAGUCCUCCCUAUUCUCUUCCCCACAGAGCUCUUUCAUGAUUUCUUCUUGACUUUCUUUACCAGGCCCAUCUCCUCCAUGCCCUCUGUGUAUCCUGCACUUCAGGAAUUUUGAGCAUUAGCAUUUCCUUGAGUAGAACGUGCUCCUAUACCCCUUCGUGCUGUUACAUAUUUUGUUCCUCUGACACGAAGGUGGGGAUAUAUUUCCGAAAUGCCUCCAUUAUGCCUUUGGAACAAGUUGGAAGAACAUGGCCUAGUUUGAAGUCUCCUCAGCUUUCCUCUGCAGAAUUGAUUAAUUCUUCUACAGCCUUUUGAUAUGGACACAACAGGUAUCCAUCUUUCCAGUGAUGUGCCUGAUUCAUCUCUGUGUCUUUCCAUCCCAGGCUUUCACAGUAUCUAAUAUAUGAGAAACUCAAUCAUACUGAAUUGGCCAGGUGAAUUAUUUCAUUCUUGUUUUCUUUCCCUAUUAACUCCAUGUGUGUAGCUAUUAUGUAUUUUUCUCUAAUCUUUGGCAACAUUUCGUAUUGCCUCUUGGAAUCUAUACUGAGAAUCUUGUGCUCACCUCAAAAGUAAAAUUCUUCCAAUCACAUUUAUUUGCUUUCCCCUCAAAUGUCCUCAUCUCUUCCACUGAAGCCACUGUUAUUUCAGUUACCAAGGCUAACCUUUGUCCCUUUCACCCAUCCACUUCAGUCAGUCUUAGAUUUAGGUCAUUGUUUUCUUUCGAUAUUGCUCUCAUAUGUAUUUUCCUGAGUAUAUUCUUACUGCUAUCUUUCUAGUCCAAAUCUUCCUCUCCCUGUGUCUGAAUUAUCACCGUGCUAGUCUGUGUUUCCUGAGUUUGUUUCCCUUUCUAAUGCCUCCCACUCUCAUUACCAGGCUAAUCUUCCCUAAACUACUCUUUCAGUGUUGCUCUGGAACUUUCAGAAAUGCUGUUUAUUGUCAAAUCAAAUCUAUUCUUUCACCUGGUUCUCACUGCCUUCCCCAAUACAAACUCCACUUUACCCAUCUCACUUAACUUCUCACUUCUAAUUAGCACCCAUGCUUAUCUAUAAUUUGUCCUCUCCCCAUUGUUUCUGGGUCAAACAUGCACUGGUCCAAUCCCAACUGCAAGGUCCAUCUGUCUAGAUUGCCUUCUUGGCCCAUUUCCCUUCUUACAUAUCAGAAUCUUCCCCUUCUUCUAGGCUGUAUCCAAGUUUUAAUCUUCUGUCUUUGUUCUUUCAACUUACUCCUGCCCACUGUGCUCUCCUUUCUCUGAGAUCUGAUUGCAGAUGUGUUGUGUCAGAACCACUUUUCACUAAUGACUUUCAUUUGUGCUUUAACAGCAGCUGUGCUUCUUGAGAUUGGAAGCUAUGGCUCAUUGUCCAUGGUAGCUCUCAGUGUCAACAGUGCUGACCAGGUAGUAGGUGCUCCAAUAUUAGGAAAUAAAUUACAUGUACUUGUGGGCAUCUUCUGGGUUAUCACCUUUGGGCCAGUGGAAUAGCAUAACUCAAAGCAGCAAGGAAAAAAAGGAGGUUUUUCAAGAUCCUCAAUUCCCAAGUGAGGUGUUCCCUACUGUGGUCCUGGAUAUUGGAAAAUUUUAAUAACUAGUAUUUUUAUGAACGUUGCAUAUAAAACACUCUCACUGAUAUUUACUUAUUCAUAAUUUUAUAACUUCCACCAGAAUUACUAUGCACUUUGGGGCAGGAGGUACAAUGUAUGAAGAUGGAAUAAAUGGAGGAAGUAGGGGGUGAGGAAUUUGGACUUACAAAAAUAUUUGAUAGGCUGUUAUGCAUUUUAUUGGCCCUUAGGAGUGUUGAUAUAUAUAUAUUUCAUAUACAUAUAUAUCAAGAGAGGAAGAGUUUGCUUCUUUAACUUAUGGCAAAAAAGAGAAUUCAAGAUAUACAGAUAUAUAAAGAAUAACUAUUUAUAUUAGUCAGCCCUCAGGGAUCAGUGAGAGCAAAAGACUGACGAUCCAAUAUUGAGGUAAUACUCCAGAGAGAUUUUGACCUUCACUUCCUCAAGCCAGCUUGUAUGGUUUAAUAGUUUUUCUGCUAUAAGAAUGGGGCAGAUGACAUGCUAUUUCAGUGUGAAAGAUAGCAAAAAUGAAAGCAAGAUUAAAAUAACAUUAGAAAUCAAAAACACAUCAGUGAAAAAAUGGAGAACUGAAACUUUUGUACCAGAAUGUAAAUGUUCAUUUUUAAGAUUAUAUCGCCACCUAGUAAAUCAGUGUAGAAAUACACCCACAGUUAAUGGCAGCAUCAGCCCAGUGUUGAGCCCUAAUCCUUGGGUUCUGCGGGUACCUUUAUAAACUUCUGCACAAAUGACAGGACAAGUGCAAGACCUAUCUCCAGUUCUUAAUGCUCAGCCCCAUUCACACUCUCCUGUUCCUUUGGAGUUAUGGAAUGGAGGGGUCAAUGCACACAUUUCAGAUAUGAAACUGUGUCAGAAAUUUCUCUCAAUCUGUUAUGCAUCUUUAGAAAAUGAUUAAAAAAUGCAUACUAUCAUUUAACUAUUCUAAAUAAUUUAACUCUGGGAUGUUCCUUAGUGGGAAUAUUUUUCAUUUUCUACUUUCGUUUCUGCUAGUAGAAGAAGUGGUCUGAUCAGGAAGAAGCAUUGGGAUUGUGCAAUUAAAAACACUAAACACAGAACCCUACUUUUUUGUUGUUACAAUCACAGCUUUAGUUUUUUCCCUUUAUUUAAAAAAAUCUCUUGUUUCUUCUGCAGCGGUUGUUGGCACUGAAUGCUUGAUCACCCAGCCUAGUUUUGUUUUUAUAAGGAAAUCGUUAGCUUGAUAAAAUUUGUAUGGGGUUUUAAGGUUUGGUGUCUACAGACAAUUGGCUACCAGGGGCGGCAUCCUGGCUGUAGGUACUCCUUGAUAAUCUCAUUUUUUUCAUCUGUGAGAUGGGGACAACAAUAGCAUAUACAGCAUUGGGCUUUUAGGAAGAAGAAAUUCAGCAGAAGUGCUCAAAAAUGUUAGCCAUUAACAACAGAAAUACAUUGAUUAAGAAAUGGUGGAAACAAAGAACAGAAACUAAUUUCACCUUGCCACUCACAAUAGAUCAAAAUGCUCUAGCCAAAGAGAUACACAAAGAGGAGGCAUAUAUUCUGAGACCAGGAAAUCAUCCAUUUAAAAAAAAACCCAAGUGAUUAAAAUUUUUUAAAUUACUAAAUUUUAAUAAUUACAAGAUUGAUUAAAUUCAAGUGCUUAAAAGACCUUGAAAAUUUACCUCCAUUCUUUUUCCUGUAUUUUCUUCCUUCAUUUUAGAAACCUAUCCUCACUUCAGCCCUCCAAAUAGCAUCUCCUCUAUAUUUUAAGGAUAUUUUGACUGAAGGGAUUAACCAAGAGUUUAGGUUAGAAAGUAGAGGAGGCGAUAUUUUGUUUUGGGAGCCUCUUCCCAAGGGGCAGUCAUAGAACUGCCAGUUUUACUUCAGAAAUGGCAGAAUCUGCCAUUUGUCUUCUAAUAGCUAUUUUUCUUUUUCCUCAAGGUAAUAGAACUUUCAGCUGGCAAAUAACCACACAGCUAAAUAUGUCUAUUUUCCUCCUGAAGUAACUGUGGCCUCUGCACUUGUGAUAUGCAUAGCAUCUAGUCAUCCUCUUAUGAAGAACACAUGUGCCUUCCUCCCUUGCCUCUUUCUCCUCUUCUGCUGACUGGGAUGUGGAAAUGAUGGUGGGACUAGAGAAGCCAUUCUGGGCCAAGAAUGGAAGAUAAGUUUAAAGAGAGCAGAACAACAAAAUAAAGGCAGCCUAGCUUCCCAGCACUGCUGAUGUGCUCUAGGAGCCCUGGAAUGCCUAUGCAGACCUGUAAAUGAGAGAGAAGCCAAUUCUGUUUUACUUAAGCUUAUAUAUUUUUGAGUCUCUUUGUUAUAGUAGUCUAAGCUGUAUUAUAAAAAUAUAUAACAGUCUCAAAGAGUAACAAGCUAGAAAUAUGAGUCUAAAAUUAUAGAUUUUGAGUAUGAAAAAUACAUCCUUCAAGACACUACAUCCCAAAGACUGGUCCUUUGAGGAUGCUAAAUAGAAAAAGACUUUUUGUGUAUGCCAAGAAAAAUAUUCUUUUAAUAGUUGGUAGGGGAAUCUAUUAUGUGGGGCUAUGGAUAGGGGUGAUCCUGCUUAACCCACUGAGCAAGGCCUCAACCUCAUGGUUCCUAGUUGGAUUCAUUUCUACUGUGCCAUGACGGGAACUCCAUGGGCUUAGGUUCUUGAUCAAGUAAAAUAGUGGCCUUGGACUAUAUGAAGAGAUACUGUUGAUAUCUGACCCUAAGUACCAGGCUUGUAGUUGGAAAAACAAGCACAGUGCAGCUAUGAAAAAGUUGGUAAUUAAGUCCAGUUUUAAGUGGAAGGGGCAGAAGUAGAACUAGGGAGAUUUUCCCUUAGGAAUAUGAAUAUUGGUGUCAAAGAAUAUAUAUUGUAGAUAUCCCAUAAGUAUUUGGGUUCUACAUUUAGAAUUUAUACAUAUGACAAUGUCACUGAUUUCCUUGUUACCUCAGAUCCCACCACAUUUCCUAUCAGUAGCUUCUCCAACAGCCAACUAGUUAUUUACAUUCAUCUUGUUCAUGUAGAACCUUGACAGAACAUAAAGGAAUGAAACAGAUUUCACAGUUGACCCUUGGCCAGAUAUACAAGGUGGAGAAAGACAGUCCAGCAGAGAAGUGUCAUAUGCAAAAGCUUGAGUGUAGGGGUGGUGAAGUGGGCUCAAUAAUCCUUGAGUAAUGCAGUGCGUGAGCCCAGGGGAUUGUAAGUGUGAGGGCUGGUGAAGAAAGAGAAUCACCUGGAAGUGGAUGGAAAUAGAAGCUGAGUCAGCUGUUUGUACUAAGCCUGCCUCUGCAUAGAUUCAAAUUUUAGAUCCAGGAGUUUCUGUCGUGGCUCUGUGGUUAACGAAUCCCACUAGGAACCAUGAGGUUGCGGGUUCGAUCCCUGGCCUUGGUCAGUGCAUUAAGGAUCUGGUGUUGCCGUGGGCUGUGGUGUAGUUUGCAGAUGUGGCUUGGAUCCUCCGUUGCUGUGAUUGUGGUGUAGGUUGGCGGCUACAGCUCAUAUUAGACCCCUAGCCUGGGAACCUCCAUAUGCCGC